AUUGAACGCUGGCGGCAGGCCUAACACAUGCAAGUCGAGCGGUUGAGGUAGCUUGCUACCGAUGCAGCGGCGAACGGGUGAGUAAUACAUGGGAAUCUGCCUGGUAGUGGGGGACAACGUUUCGAAAGGAACGCUAAUACCGCAUACGCCCUACGGGGAAAGGGGGGAUCGCAAGACCUCCCGCUAUCAGAUGAGCCCAU
rnacentral:rRNA from 1 species